ACGGCUCAGUAACACUGUGGACAAUCUGCCCUCCGGAGGAGGAUAAUCUCGGGAAACUGAGGCUAAUACUCCAUAGAUAACGAGUCCUGGAAUGGCCGUUAUCGAAAGUGCAAGCGUGUUGCUCGCUUGUUACACCAGAGGAUGAGUCUGCGGUGGAUUAGGUAGACGUUGGGGUAAUGGCCCAACGUGCCUUCGAUCCGUACCGGCUAUGUAAGUAGGAGCCGGGAGAUGGAUACUGAGACAAAGAUCCAGGCUCUACGGAGCGCAGCAGGCGCGAAACCUUCGCAAUGCGCGAAAGCGUGACGAGGGGACCCCGAGUUCCCCAGUACAACUGGGGAUUUUGUAGAGCGUAAAAAGCUUUAAGAAUAAGUGCUGGGUAAGACCGGUGCCAGCCUCCGCGGUAACACCGGCAGCGCAAGUGGUGGUCACGUUUAUUGGGCUUAAAGCGUCCGUAGUCGGUUCAGCAAGUUCCCUGUGAAAUCCUGCCGCUUAACGGUAGGGCUUGCAGGGAAUACUGCCGAGCUAGGGACCGGAAGAGGUCAGGGGUAUUCCCGGGUAGCGGUGAAAUGUUAUAAUCCCGGGAGGACGACCCGCGGCGAAGGCGCCUGACUAGUACGGGUCCGACGAUGAGGGACGAGAGCUGGGGAGCAAAAC
rnacentral:rRNA from 1 species